rnacentral:rRNA from 1 species
AUUGAACGCUGGCGGCAUGCCUAACACAUGCAAGUCGAGCGGAGCGGCGGACGGGUGAGUAAUGCCUAGGAAUCUGCCUGGUAGUGGGGGAUAACGUCCGGAAACGGGCGCUAAUACCGCAUACUAUCAGAUGAGCCUAGAUCGAAUUCGCUAGUUGGUGGGGUAAAGGCCUACCAAGGCGACGAUCCGUAACUGGUCUGAGAGGAGGAUCAGUCACAUGGGAAUGGAGACACGGCCCAGACUCUUAAGGGAGGAAGCAGUGGGAAAUAUUUGACAAUGGGCGAAAGCCUGAUCCAGCAAUGCCGCGGGGGUGAAGAAGGUCUUCGGAUUGUAAAGCACGUUAAGUUGGGAGGCGUUACCAAAAGAAAAAGCAACGGCUAACUUCGUGCCAGCAGCCGCGGUAAUAC